AUUGAACGCUGGCGGCAUGCCUUACACAUGCAAGUCGAACGGCAGCACGGGUGCUUGCACCUGGUGGCGAGUGGCGAACGGGUGAGUAAUACAUCGGAACAUGUCCUGUAGUGGGGGAUAGCCCGGCGAAAGCCGGAUUAAUACCGCAUACGAUCUACGGAUGAAAGCGGGGGACCUGCGGGCCUCGCGCUAUGGGGUUGGCCGAUGGCUGAUUAGCUAGUUGGUGGGGUAAAGGCCUACCAAGGCGACGAUCAGUAGAUGGUCUGAGAGGACGACCAGCCACACUGGAACUGCGACACGGCCCAGACUCCUACGGGAGGCAGCAGUGGGGAAUUUUGGACAAUGGGCGAAAGCCUGAUCCAGCAAUGCCGCGUGUGUGAAGAAGGCCUUCGGGUUGUAAAGCACUUUUGUCCGGAAAGAAAGCCUUGGCUCUAAUACAGUCGGGGGAUGACGGUACCGGAAGAAUAAGCACCGGCUAACUACGUG
rnacentral:rRNA from 1 species